rnacentral:rRNA from 2 species
GGGGAACUGAAACAUCUAAGUACCCCGAGGAAAAGAAAUCAACCGAGAUUCCCCCAGUAGCGGCGAGCGAACGGGGAGGAGCCCAGAGCCUGAAUCAGCAUGUGUGUUAGUGGAAGCGUCUGGAAAGGCGCGCGAUACAGGGUGACAGCCCCGUACACAAAAGCGCAUGUGCUGUGAGCUCGAUGAGUAGGGCGGGACACGUGGUAUCCUGUCUGAAUAUGGGGGGACCAUCCUCCAAGGCUAAAUACUCCUGACUGACCGAUAGUGAACCAGUACCGUGAGGGAAAGGCGAAAAGAACCCCGGCGAGGGGAGUGAAAAAGAACCUGAAACCGUGUACGUACAAGCAGUGGGAGCACCCUUUGGGGUGUGACUGCGUACCUUUUGUAUAAUGGGUCAGCGACUUAUAUUCUGUAGCAAGGUUAACCGAAUAGGGGAGCCGGAGGGAAACCGAGUCUUAACCGGGCGUUAAGUUGCAGGGUAUAGACCCGAAACCCGGUGAUCUAGCCAUGGGCAGGUUGAAGGUUGGGUAACACUAACUGGAGGACCGAACCGACUAAUGUUGAAAAAUUAGCGGAUGACCUGUGGCU